UACACAGUUAAGUACUCCCCUCCCGGCUCCCGAUCUCUGUAUAUAGCAAAUAUUUCAAGACAAAAAGUGUACGGCACACACUGCACGCAUUUCUUAAUUCUUUUAAAUAUAACCCCUUUUUUCCUGAUUAUGUACAAAUAGUAGCUAAGCCAGUUCGGUCAGGGAAGCAGUGGGCGGUGUCGUUCGUUUGAGCUGUCGAUCCUUUUUCCUCACUUCUCAAUUUAGUUACUGACCAAUUAAAGAGUGGUGUGAUCGCAAGAUGGAAAGGCUUUCGGCAGGGUUGAGCCACCUCUUCAUGACAGUCUUUCUGCACAACUUCGCCACGUUCAUGGUGAUCCCGGCCAUCACCGACGUUACAAUGUCUGCCCUUUGUCCUGGAAGAGAUGAGUGCUCCAUCGCUAUCUACCUCACCGGAUUUCAACAAGCGAUCGUAGGGCUGGGAACACUAGUGAUGAUGCCAUUGGUAGGUAAUCUCUCAGACAAGUGUGGAAGAAAAGCUUUGCUUACACUGCCAAUGAUCUCCACAAUUAUCCCCUUGGGGAUAUUGGGAUACAGCAGGAGUAAGAGUUUCUUCUACGUCUACUUCGCGGUCAAAACUCUAACCGCCAUGCUUUGUGAAGGCAGCGUUCAGUGCCUCGCCCUUGCCUAUGUGGCAGAUAAUGUGGCAGAAGGGCGGCGAGCCUCGACGUUCGGAGUCCUAUCGGGGAUUAGUUCCUCUGCAUUUGUCUGCGGAACCUUAUUCACUCGUUUCGUCUCCACUUCCUCCGCUUUUCAGGUUGCGACAGUGGUGGCGGUUGUGGCAGUAAUGUACAUGAGGGUUUUCCUACCGGAUUCCAACAGAGACAAUAACCUUUCCGCUCCGUUACUGUCGGAUGAAAAGAUCAAAAUUAAGGAUUCAGCUGAAAGUUCAAGUGCUCAGAUAUUGCAGCCAGCCAAAACAUUGCCUUCCUUAAGUGAUUUUAUCUCCUUAUUGAAAACCAGCACGACGUUUUCGCAAGCUGCAAUUGUUGCGUUUUUCAGUAAUCUUGCGGAUGUUGGCCUUCAUGCUUCAAUGAUGUACUUUCUAAAGGCGCGGUUUCACUUCAACAAGGAUCAGUUUGCGGACCUGAUGGUUAUUUCCGGGGUAGCAGGCACCGUUUCACAGCUGGUUCUAAUGCCCUUGCUGGCUCCGGCUUUAGGAGAGGAAAGGCUACUUUCGAUAGGCCUCCUUUUUAGCUGUGCACAUAUGUUUCUUUAUGGCAUUGCGUGGUCCUUCUGGGUGCCAUAUGCUGCUGCCAUGUUUUCCAUCUUUUUUGUGUUCGCACAACCAUGCUUCAAACUUCACAGAUGCGAAGCAUUGUAUCGAAACAAAUUGGUCCGUCCGAGCAGGGGAAGGCUCAAGGAUGCAUUUCAGGCAUAUGUUCACUUGCAAAUGUGAUAUCUCCGAUUGCUUUCUCUCCUCUCACAGCUUUGUUUCUGUCCGAAAAGGCACCCUUUAAUUUCCCUGGAUUUAGUCUCAUUUGCGUUGGAUUUGCUGCGAUGAUAGCCUUUAUUCAAAGCGUGAUGAUAAGGGCUGCUCCUUCCCUUUCGAGCCAACGGAACAGCGGCAAUUGCAAUCACACGGAGCCCUAGUUUACUCAAGUCACCUUCGGCACUGGCAGUAAACAUGACGCCGAGAAUCCCAAUCCUUGAAAUUCUCCGAUCAUAUGAAGAGAGGAGGUUCAGAAACAUGCUCUGGUCUGUAACAGAGUGAAAUUAUACUUUUCAUGUCUCUUUUUUGGUUUUUUUGUUUUUGUUUUGGUGGGGGUGGGGUUCUUUAUAUAAUUGAAUUGAUGGAACUUUGAUGAAGCUUAGUGAAUAUUACUAAUCAAUGAUUAAACUAUAAAACUGUUAUCUAUGAAUAUUAAGCAUCUAUUUUCUCCAAGAGAAAAACUUUAGAUGCUUGAUAUUA